AACAGAGGAAUAAAGGUAACAUAAACUGACAAAGUAAUUACGACAGUUCAGGUUCUAGGCAUUCAGCCAUUUAGUUCCACUUUCAUUUAUUAACAGCCAGAUACUUUGACAAAACGCAAGGACGCUAUUGAUGUUAAUUGUUGGCUCUACAGUUACACUGAAAUAGCU